GGCAUCGACCUUGGCACGACCUACUCGUGCGUGGGCGUUUGGCAGCACGACCGCGUGGAGAUCAUCGCCAACGACCAGGGCAACCGCACCACCCCCUCCUACGUCGGCUUCACCGACUCCGAGAGGCUCAUCGGAGAUGCUGCCAAGAACCAGGUCGCCAUGAACCCCAUCAACACCGUCUUUGGUAACUACUUAUUCCCUGCUCCUCAGUCCUCUCUCUUUCUCUCUCUCCCCCCUUAGAUCUCAUCUCUAAGGUCUUCGUCGUCGUCGUAUGCUAGAUCUACUCUUGCCCAGCUCGUUCAGAUCUGUUAGAUUUGUGUGGGAUGCUCUAAUUAAUUACUACCAACUUAGUAGAUCUGGAACUCUUUUGACUUGCAGAUCUUGCUCCACUCCUGUUGCAUUUUGAAUCUGUGUUGAUGUGAUUUAAGUUGUUGGCAGUGCUUUUUGCAUACUAUUUGAAUUUGUGGAUGGUUAGCAGUCAGUACACUAGGAUUUAUUACUGGAUCUGGACAGAUAUGCUCGUUUCAAUCGGCUCGAUUUGCUAUGUUGAUAGCUAACAUGUUGUGCUUGUCCUACUGCCCUGGCGCAAAUUUGAUCCAUGCAUUCUUUUCGUUAAAUGAUUUGUCAAGUAGUAAUGCUUGUUUGAAAAUGAUAUUAUUAUUAUUAUUAUUAUUUUAAAUAAAUAUAGCCUGAAACAUUCUUAGUUUCGAGGAGAAGUGAUGAUGUCUUAUCCAUACCACAUGUCUGCAUCUCAUAUGAUGAUUAAUCUACAUCAUGCACUACCAUCUGAUCUCCUCUAGCUCAUACAGCUUUUAACAAGUUAGGCGAUAGAUGUUUGCUACAAACAGUCAACUGGAUUUGCUUUCUUGAAAGAAAAAAAAUGAACCGUGUAGUUUGCAACCUGUGAUGUAAAUUAACCCAUUUACUGAACUACAUUGAUUAUUUCAGUAAAAUCACCAUCUUUCGGCUGAGGUUGCAUGCUUAGUUAUUAUAUUUUUACCAAUGAUGAUUUUGUUAUGUAGCCAGAUACUGUACUUUCUUAUGCCAUUUGGUAUCUGACUCAUUGUCUACUUUUGUGACUAUGUGUCUCGAAAUAUGGCAUAUAAUAAGGGGGAACGGAUCUUGCGACAUUGAUGGCUCCUGUAUGAGCCUCCAAUUACUAUAUAGCCGUUUACAUGUUCUUAUCAUGUUACUUUUCCAAAUUAGUGCUGCACAUCUUGUCUGUUUGCAAGUUUGGGUUCAUUCAUAUUGCUGUGGGCAUUUUAAUACAUCUUAACUAUAAUGUAAAUUUCUUGUACAUCGCUAAAAUUUUCUGCCUUGAUUGAGUAGACUCUUAGAUGACAUCUAUCUUACCUUAUGCACUUGAUUCGUAUUUCUGUUACAACAUUUUGAUUACUUGAUGUAGUUCACACAAGCAUGACACAUCUCUUUGAAAAAAAGAUUUCAUUUUUUAAAGCAAGCCUAAUGCUUUAGGGUGGGAGAAGUGAUGAUACUUAAUCCAUACAACAUUUCUGCAUCUCAGAUGAUGAUCAAUCUACAUCAUGCACUACCAUCUGAUCUCCCCAUCAUACAAUUUUUUAUUUUGUUUUGUUGGAUUAUAUAACUUUAACAUUUGAUAAAGUGCCAACAGAUUUUUAUACACAAUUUCUUAUAGAUAUUACCAUGACAGCUUGCAGCCUGUGAUGCAAAAGUACCCAUUAAACUGAAUUACACUGAUUAUUCCAAACAAAUCACCAUCUUUCGGCUGAGGUUGCUUGCUUGUUUAAAAUUAUGAAUGCUUCUUGCACAACCAUUUAGGACUUUCGGUAGUUUGUAAUGCCAUUUGGUAUCUGACACAUGGUCUGCGCUUGUGACUAUUUGUCUUGAAAUAUGGCAUAAAACAAGGGGGAACGGAUCUUGCGACAUUGGUGGUUCCUCUAUGAUCCUCCAAUUACUAUAUAGCUGUUUACAAUUUGUUAAGUUAGGAGCAUACCUUUUGCUUUGUCAUCAAAGUCUUGGUUCCUUUGUAUUUCUAGUUCAGAUUCAUUUUUCUUCAGCUUUUGAAACAUAAACUCAGUAUAUUUUUACUGUAAUUGCUGACAUUGAGUCUUCUCUGCAGAUGCCAAGCGUCUCAUUGGCAGGAGGUUUAGCGAUGCUUCUGUUCAGAGUGACAUUAAGCUCUGGCCCUUCAAGGUGAUUGCUGGACCUGGUGACAAGCCUAUGAUUGUUGUCCAGUACAAGGGUGAGGAGAAGCAGUUUGCUGCAGAAGAGAUCUCCUCCAUGGUCCUCAUCAAGAUGCGUGAGAUUGCUGAGGCCUACCUUGGCACCACCAUCAAGAAUGCCGUUGUCACUGUUCCUGCCUACUUCAAUGACUCCCAGAGGCAGGCCACCAAGGAUGCUGGAGUGAUUGCUGGUCUCAAUGUCAUGCGUAUCAUCAACGAGCCGACUGCUGCAGCUAUUGCCUAUGGUCUUGAUAAGAAGGCCACCAGCGUUGGUGAGAAGAAUGUCCUCAUCUUUGACCUUGGAGGUGGUACCUUUGAUGUCUCCCUCCUUACCAUUGAGGAGGGUAUCUUUGAGGUCAAGGCCACAGCUGGUGACACCCAUCUUGGUGGUGAAGAUUUUGACAAUCGUAUGGUCAACCACUUUGUGCAAGAAUUCAAGAGGAAGAACAAGAAGGAUAUCACUGGCAACCCCAGGGCUCUCAGGAGGUUGAGGACAGCUUGUGAGAGGGCAAAGAGGACCCUGUCCUCCACUGCCCAGACCACCAUUGAGAUCGAUUCCCUGUAUGAGGGCAUCGACUUCUACUCAACCAUCACCCGUGCCAGGUUUGAGGAGCUCAACAUGGAUCUCUUCAGGAAGUGUAUGGAGCCUGUGGAGAAGUGCCUCAGGGAUGCUAAGAUGGACAAGAGCUCUGUUCAUGAUGUUGUCCUUGUUGGUGGCUCCACUAGGAUCCCGAGGGUGCAGCAGCUCCUGCAGGAUUUCUUCAACGGCAAGGAGCUUUGCAAGAACAUCAACCCAGAUGAGGCUGUUGCUUAUGGUGCUGCUGUCCAGGCUGCCAUCUUGAGUGGUGAGGGCAACGAGAAGGUCCAGGACCUCCUCCUGUUGGAUGUUACCCCUCUCUCUCUCGGUUUGGAGACUGCUGGUGGUGUCAUGACCGUUUUGAUCCCAAGGAACACCACCAUUCCCACCAAGAAGGAGCAGGUCUUCUCCACCUACUCCGACAACCAGCCUGGUGUGCUCAUCCAGGUUUAUGAGGGUGAGAGGACCAGGACACGUGACAACAACCUGCUGGGGAAGUUUGAGCUCUCUGGAAUCCCUCCUGCUCCCAGGGGUGUUCCACAGAUCACUGUUUGCUUCGACAUUGAUGCCAAUGGUAUCCUGAACGUGUCUGCUGAGGACAAGACCACCGGGCAGAAGAACAAGAUCACCAUUACCAACGACAAGGGCAGGCUUAGCAAGGAGGAGAUUGAGAAGAUGGUCCAGGAGGCCGAGAAGUACAAGUCAGAGGAUGAGGAGCACAAGAAGAAGGUGGAGUCCAAGAACGCGCUGGAGAACUACGCCUACAACAUGCGCAACACCAUCAAGGAUGAGAAGAUCGCCUCGAAGCUCCCGGCAGCGGACAAGAAGAAGAUCGAGGAUGCCAUCGACCAGGCCAUCCAGUGGCUGGACGGCAACCAGCUCG
rnacentral:lncRNA from 1 species